ACACCACUCUUAGGAGGAGGAGGAGGUGGACGAGGACCAGGUUUAGCACCAUGUGGUGCUGGUGGUGGAGGGGGGGGAGGACCAGGUUUGGCACCAGGUGGUGCAGGGGGUGGUGGAGGACUAGGUUUGGCACCAGGCGGAGCAAGGGGUGGUGGAGGACUAGGUUUGGCACCAGACAGAGCAGGGGGUAGCGGAGGACGAAGAGCAGCAGGUUUGGCACCGGCUAGUGUUAAAUGUGGGGAAGGAGUAGUAGGAGGUCGAGCACUGCCAACACCAGAUUGUCGAGGAGGAGGAGUUGCAGCAGCAGUAGAUACGGCAUUAUUACUAGAAGGCCUAAAUGAAGGUGGCUCAGGGGGGAGAGGAUUCAUUCUUCCUGGAGGAGGUCUUAAAGGUGGCAUUCCAGAAUGGAUAGUUCCCACUCUUCCAAGAGGAGGUGUCAAUUCAAAUGGUAAUCCAGCAGCAGUAUGAGCUCCUAUUGAUUGAUUUUCUUGCACCGAGGUCUUCUUGUUGUCUCCUAAAUUAUUACUUGAUGACUGAAACCCAUGUUUCUCCCCUUUUGUCGAAUUUCCAAAAGCAUGAUUGGAAGGAC
rnacentral:lncRNA from 1 species